AACGCUAGCUACAGGCUUAACACAUGCAAGUCGAGGGGCAGCAUUUUGGUUGCUUGCAACCAAUGAUGGCGACCGGCGCACGGGUGAGUAACGCGUAUCCAACCUUCCCCUUACUCAGGAAUAGCCCGUUGAAAGACGGAUUAAUGCCUGAUGUUCUCUUUUUCCGGCAUCGGUAAUAGAGCAAAGAUUCAUCGGUAAGGGAUGGGGAUGCGUAUGAUUAGCUUGUUGGCGGGGUAACGGCCCACCAAGGCGACGAUCAUUAGGGGUUCUGAGAGGAAGGUCCCCCACACUGGAACUGAGACACGGUCCAGACUCCUACGGGAGGCAGCAGUGAGGAAUAUUGGUCAAUGGAGGCAACUCUGAACCAGCCAAGUAGCGUGCAGGAUGACGGCCCUAUGGGUUGUAAACUGCUUUUAUGCGGGGGAUAAAUGAGCCUACGUGUAGGUUUUUGCAGGUACCGCAUGAAUAAGGACCGGCUAAUUCCGUGCCAGCAGCCGCGGUAAUACGGAAGGUCCAGGCGUUAUCCGGAUUUAUUGGGUUUAAAGGGAGCGUAGGCGGCCUGUUAAGCGUGUUGUGAAAUGUAAAGGCUCAACCNUCNUGCACUGCAGCGCGAACUGGCGGGCUUGAGUUGGCUGAAAGUAUGCGGAAUUCGUGGUGUAGCGGUGAAAUGCUUAGAUAUCACGAAGAACUCCGAUUG
rnacentral:rRNA from 1 species